UAAGUAGAAUAAAUAAUCGCGGCUGACAGGACCGAAAGGGGUCAGGUGAGGAAAGUCCGGGCUUCACAGGGCAGGAUGCCAGAUAACGUCUGGUGGAGGUGACUCCAAGGACAGUGCAACAGAAAUGAACCGCCGGAAGAAAUUCCGGUAAGGGUGGAAGGGCAGUGUAAGAGACUACCGUCUUUCUGGUAACAGAGAGGGCAUAUGUAAACCCCAUCCGAAGCAAGACCGAAUAGAAAACAUUGUGGCUGCCCGUCACGUUUUCAGGUGGGUCGCUAAAGCCUGCUGGCGACAGUAGGAUUGGAUAGAUGAUUAUUCACGACAUAACCCGGCUUAUCGUUUUGCUUAUGAU
rfam:Firmicutes bacterium CAG:424 genomic scaffold, scf97